GAAAUCCUUUCAAAUCUGGAAUAGAAUGUUUCGAACAAUAUUGAGUUAAAAAGGAAUUUUAUGGGUUACACAGAUAGAUAGAGGCUGGCUUUCACUAUGAUUUGUGGUCUGAAGCAUAGCUACUGACUGCAAUGUGUUUGUGAUUGAAUAGGGCUUUUUUUGUAUUUUCUUUUCAAAGCAGAAUAUUAUAAUACAUAUCUAUUUUUUUUCUCACACACAUAUCUAAAUACUUUCUUCAGAAAAUGAGGGCAAAAUAGAAGACUAUCUUCCCUUUACGCUCUGGGUCAUUUCCUGAAGAGUUUUGAAUUCAGCACGAAAGGCAGGACUUUCACAGAGGUGGAAUGUAGCACAUGUGGAAAAGGUUGGACCAACGACCUUUAAUUCUUUGACCAAGAAGGUGUGAGAGGCUGGUUUUCCUGGGUGGUCUGAGAAUUGCCUCAGGAGAGAGCACUGAUGCAGUCUAAUCCGGAUGUUACAAAGCACGAAUAAACCAAGAGAACAUUUUCACACUCAAAGGCAGCUACGCCUCCCCGUCCUGAAGAUCAAGUGGUGACUAUUUGGGCAUUGAACAACAUAUCCAUGGAGUCCAGUCACACAUUUCUCAACACCAUUAUUCAGACAGAAAAGGAAUGAAAGCCAGAGCCUAUAAAAGUAAUUCUUGAAUGGCUUGAGGAGUGUAUAAAAUGUGCUCUAUAAUUUCCAAC
rnacentral:lncRNA from 1 species